rnacentral:pre_miRNA from 9 species
UCUCGAUAGCGUAAAAGUUAACCCAAAUUUGUAUGCAGUUGCAACGUUUGCCUACGUUUGCCGCUAGGGGCGCUGUUAGAAUACAUACUAAUUUAAGUUAACUUUUACGCUAUCGA